CCUACGGGAGGCAGCAGUGGGGAAUUUUGGACAAUGGGCGCAAGCCUGAUCCAGCCAUGCCGCGUGAGUGAAGAAGGCCUUCGGGUUGUAAAGCUCUUUCGGCAGGAACGAAAUGGUUCGUGCUAAUACCACGGACUGAUGACGGUACCUGAAGAAGAAGCACCGGCUAACUACGUGCCAGCAGCCGCGGUAAUACGUAGGGUGCAGGCGUUAAUCGGAAUUACUGGGCGUAAAGCGUGCGCAGGCGGUUUCUUAAGUCAGAUGUGAAAGCCCCGGGCUUAACCUGGGAACUGCGUUUGAAACUGGGAGACUUGAGUGUGGCAGAGGGGGGUGGAAUUCCACGUGUAGCAGUGAAAUGCGUAGAUAUGUGGAGGAACACCGAUGGCGAAGGCAGCCCCCUGGGCUAACACUGACGCUCAUGCACGAAAGCGUGGGGAGCAAACAGGAUUAGAUACCCUGGUAGUCCACGCCCUAAACUAUGUCAACUGGUUGUCGGGAGAUUAACUCUCUUGGUAACGAAGCUAACGCGUGAAGUUGACCGCCUGGGGAGUAGUGGCCGNAAGGUUAAAACUUCAAAUUGAAUUGACGG
rnacentral:rRNA from 1 species